rnacentral:rRNA from 1 species
UUGAACGCUGGCGGCAGGCCUCACACAUGCAAGUCGCACGGUAACAGGAAGAAGCUUGCUUCUUUGCUGACGAGUGGCGGACGGGUGAGUAAUGUCUGGGAAACUGCCUGAUGGAGGGGGAUAACUACUGGAAACGGUAGCUAAUACCGCAUAACGUCGCAAGACCAAAGAGGGGGACCUUCGGGCCUCUUGCCAUCGGAUGUGCCCAGAUGGGAUUAGCUAGUAGGUGGGGUAACGGCUCACCUAGGCGACGAUCCCUAGCUGGUCUGAGAGGAUGACCAGCCACACUGGAACUGAGACACGGUCCAGACUCCUACGGGAGGCAGCAGUGGGGAAUAUUGCACAAUGGGCGCAAGCCUGAUGCAGCCAUGCCGCGUGUAUGAAGAAGGCCUUCGGGUUGUAAAGUACUUUCAGCGGGGAGGAAGGGAGUAAAGUUAAUACCUUUGCUCAUUGACGUUACCCGCAGAAGAAGCACCGGCUAACUCCGUG